rnacentral:misc_RNA from 1 species
AGAAAUUUUAGUGUGUGUAUAUUAAUAUAUAUAUUUGAAUUUUAUAAUUAUGAUCAAAAUUUUUAUUAAUUUUAAUUUAAUUUUAAAAGUUAAUUAUUUUUAUUGUUCAACGUGUCAAUAUUGGUUAAAAUCAACUUAUGUGACAUAAUUUUGACCAUUAAUUUAUAUACAUAACAUUGUACAACGCCUCCUUGAAACACCAAGCUAAUCAUAUGAGUUUUCUUUUCUCUGUUUUGCUAGUUCCUUCUCUAAGGUUGUCGCGUGUGGCGGUAUUUUUUUGGCCCCUGCGGACGGAGGAAGGCCACUUUCCCCUUCCCGGUCAGUGGGUCUCCCUCCUUACCAGUGGGAAGGGUUGUAUAUUAGGUUUUUUAUUAUCAUGGUUGAGGAGCAGGCGUUCAUUCGUGAGGGAUUUUUUUUAAAGCUGCCAAUAGAUCUUGAUUUUGUUUUGCUUUGUCUUUCUCUGUCUUGUUUUGCAAGUUACAUAUCUAGUGGUGGAUGGUGGAGGUGAAGUUGCGCGGUGGAUUGAGGGGCGCAGUUCAGAAGGCUGACCCAGAAUGGGCAAAUGAGAGGCCAAAGAACACCAUUGUUAUCCUAUCCUCUGUUCUUGUUGGUUUUCAUCCACUGGAGAUUUUGGUUUUAGCCUGGGUUGGUCUGCCUUGAGACCUACGAGAUGGGUUUAUGAGAAGAAAUCUCUCCGAGCAUAGUUAGACAAAAAUGGUUGCCGAUCUGUGUUGAUGAGGCUUUUCUGGUAUUAAUUUGAGCAGGUUGUUUGUGUUGAGCCGAAAGAUGAUGACAGCAAUAUGGAGCUUCUGCUCCUUGAUAUGCCAGGUCAAGGUCAACCAAACACCCCUGCAGCAGGUUUCAAAUGUCCAUGAUGUUCAACUGAUUGCUUUACUCCCUACGCAAUUUUCAGUUUUUUAAUUCAGUACGUCAAGGUUUGAAGAUAAGAGUUUUGGGUGUUUCUCAUAUGUUAAAUUCAAACUAGAUUGUCUUAUCAUUGCAAAGAAUAUGAUAUUGUUACAACAUAGUAUAUACUAAGUUCAUACGCCAUCAAUAAAA